rnacentral:rRNA from 1 species
AUGGAGAAACCGGAAGACCGGAGUACAACUGAUGCAGGUGUCAAGCCGGGCACGAGUGAUGGAGGUAAACGUCCGGAGCAAACUGCGUGUUUACCCGCAGUGGAGAACCCCAGCCUAAAUCUGCGCACUUCCAAGCUCCCAGUCAAUGUUGGUGUCCCCUACAGCCCAAACAAGAAGAUUGUCAAGAAAGUUGCGACUGAUACCGCAGACAACACGCCUCGCCCUACGAAUAAGCCCGAUGAUUCUGCAGCGGCCGAUUCAGAUAUGUUUGUUGAUCUCUCACCCUUGGAUUCUGCCCCGCAAGUUGUUUGCGGUCCGGCCAGUAGGCAUGAGAGGCACCCAAUGGCCUUCACCCCACCGAGCUUUAGCCUUGGCAUCAGUCAAGAUCAACCAGUGGUGCAAGAUCCUACGCCAGUUGCCUUUGCUUUCCCGGGAGGCAUGGCCGCAAUGAUGGCACAACCAAUGGUCGAGGUCAGGAAGGCUAUCAAGUUCGCAGAGCCGAUCGUCCAAGGUAUCCUAACCCACUUUUUGAUCCUUGCAGGAACCCCUGAGGAGAUUUUGCCAUCACUUGAUGAAGUUUACCGCAGGAUUGAGGAGGCAACAUUGCAGAGGAGGUCCUCACGAGGUCAGGGGCAAUCAAGUUCCAACGUGCCUGCUGAGACGGUAUCUGAGGAUACCAUUAGAAGUGCCACCCCUAGUUCUGUGAGGCAGCAGAGGGUAGUUCACCCACCUCCCGUGGAUGACUACAAGCCCGAAGUCAAGGCCACAAAGGAGCAGAACCAGCUGUACGAUAUUGUCAAGUGA